GUGCAUUGGCUCAGCUGGUUAGAGCGUGGUGCUAAUAAUGCCAAGGUCGCGGGUUCGACCCCCGUACUGGCCA
rnacentral:tRNA from 1 species